GUGGGUGGAGAAGGGGUGUUGACCUCUUCCAAAGAAGGCGAGCCCGAGUCGACAGCAGUUGCCGGGCGCUCUCUUGUUAGCUGGGGAACAAACGCCCCCUAGUGAGGGAUGAUCGGGCCCUCGGAGUUCUCUGGUGCUGCCUCGGGCUCCAGUGUACGUUGUCGAGCGAUCGGAAGCACCGCCGCGGGUCCUGCUGGGAAAGCGAGUACCUGAGGGGAAAGGCGUCUGGAGGGGGCGCGCUCGAGUAGACUGGCUGCCUGGCUCCUCCCUGGACAUUGGGAGGAAAAAAGCAAGGAAACAGACUUUCCUCUAGAGCCUCCAAAAGGAAUACAGUCCUGAGAAUAAUUUGUGUUUUGUCCCACAAGACCCAAUUUUGGACUUUACAUCUCCUGAAGUUGUGCUCUUCUGCAAAGUUGGAUUUCUUCUUGGCUGAGCUUUUCAGAAGAAGAAAGAAAGCAUCAGAGAGGGUAAUGGACCUAUGCUCCUCCUCUUAGGGACUUCUGAUUUGCAAUCAAGGUAACCACCUAAAGUGAUCCUGUGCAUAGUAAAUGAGAACCACCAUGUGCCAAGAAACCCAACAAAGGU